rnacentral:rRNA from 1 species
UUAAGCGACUAAGCGUACACGGUGGAUGCCCUGGCAGUCAGAGGCGAUGAAGGGCGUGCUAAUCUGCGAUAAGCGCCGGUAAGGUGAUAUGAACCGUUAUAACCGGCGAUACCCGAAUGGGGAAACCCAGUGUGAUUCGUCACACUAUCAUUAACUGAAUCCAUAGGUUAAUGAGGCGAACCGGGGGAACUGAAACAUCUAAGUACCCCGAGGAAAAGAAAUCAACCGAGAUUCCCCCAGUAGCGGCGAGCGAACGGGGAGGAGCCCAGAGCCUGAAUCAGCAUGUGUGUUAGUGGAAGCGUCUGGAAAGGCGCGCGAUACAGGGUGACAGCCCCGUACACAAAAGCGCAUGUGCUGUGAGCUCGAUGAGUAGGGCGGGACACGUGGUAUCCUGUCUGAAUAUGGGGGGACCAUCCUCCAAGGCUAAAUACUCCUGACUGACCGAUAGUGAACCAGUACCGUGAGGGAAAGGCGAAAAGAACCCCGGCGAGGGGAGUGAAAAAGAACCUGAAACCGUGUACGUACAAGCAGUGGGAGCACAGGUUUACCUGUGUGACUGCGUACCUUUUGUAUAAUGGGUCAGCGACUUAUAUUCUGUAGCAAGGUUAACCGAAUAGGGGAGCCGGAGGGAAACCGAGUCUUAAUUGGGCGUUAAGUUGCAGGGUAUAGACCCGAAACCCGGUGAUCUAGCCAUGGGCAGGUUGAAGGUUGGGUAACACUAACUGGAGGACCGAACCGACUAAUGUUGAAAAAUUAGCGGAUGACCUGUGGCUGGGGGUGAAAGGCCAAUCAAACCGGGAGAUAGCUGGUUCUCCCCGAAAGCUAUUUAGGUAGCGCCUCGUGAAUUCAUCUCCGGGGGUAGAGCACUGUUUCGGCUAGGGGGCCAUCCCGGCUUACCAACCCGAUGCAAACUGCGAAUACCGGAGAAUGUUAUCACGGGAGACACACGGCGGGUGCUAACGUCCGUCGUGAAGAGGGAAACAACCCAGACCGCCAGCUAAGGUCCCAAAGUCAUGGUUAAGUGGGAAACGAUGUGGGAAGGCCCAGACAGCCAGGAUGUUGGCUUAGAAGCAGCCAUCAUUUAAAGAAAGCGUAAUAGCUCACUGGUCGAGUCGGCCUGCGCGGAAGAUGUAACGGGGCUAAACCAUGCACCGAAGCUGCGGCAGCGACGCUUAUGCGUUGUUGGGUAGGGGAGCGUUCUGUAAGCCUGUGAAGGUGUGUCGUGAGGCAUGCUGGAGGUAUCAGAAGUGCGAAUGCUGACAUAAGUAACGAUAAAGCGGGUGAAAAGCCCGCUCGCCGGAAGACCAAGGGUUCCUGUCCAACGUUAAUCGGGGCAGGGUGAGUCGACCCCUAAGGCGAGGCCGAAAGGCGUAGUCGAUGGGAAACGGGUUAAUAUUCCCGUACUUGGUGUUACUGCGAAGGGGGGACGGAGAAGGCUAUGUUGGCCGGGCGACGGUUGUCCCGGUUUAAGCGUGUAGGUGUGUGUUCCAGGUAAAUCCGGUUCACUUUAACACUGAGGCGUGACGACGAGGCACUACGGUGCUGAAGCAACAAAUGCCCUGCUUCCAGGAAAAGCCUCUAAGCAUCAGGUAACAUCAAAUCGUACCCCAAACCGACACAGGUGGUCAGGUAGAGAAUACCAAGGCGCUUGAGAGAACUCGGGUGAAGGAACUAGGCAAAAUGGUGCCGUAACUUCGGGAGAAGGCACGCUGACACGUAGGUGAAGUGAUUUACUCAUGGAGCUGAAGUCAGUCGAAGAUACCAGCUGGCUGCAACUGUUUAUUAAAAACACAGCACUGUGCAAACACGAAAGUGGACGUAUACGGUGUGACGCCUGCCCGGUGCCGGAAGGUUAAUUGAUGGGGUCAGCGCAAGCGAAGCUCCUGAUCGAAGCCCCGGUAAACGGCGGCCGUAACUAUAACGGUCCUAAGGUAGCGAAAUUCCUUGUCGGGUAAGUUCCGACCUGCACGAAUGGCGUAAUGAUGGCCAGGCUGUCUCCACCCGAGACUCAGUGAAAUUGAACUCGCUGUGAAGAUGCAGUGUACCCGCGGCAAGACGGAAAGACCCCGUGAACCUUUACUAUAGCUUGACACUGAACAUUGAGCCUUGAUGUGUAGGAUAGGUGGGAGGCUUUGAAGCGUGGACGCCAGUCUGCGUGGAGCCGACCUUGAAAUACCACCCUUUAAUGUUUGAUGUUCUAACGUGGACCCGUGAUCCGGGUUGCGGACAGUGUCUGGUGGGUAGUUUGACUGGGGCGGUCUCCUCCUAAAGAGUAACGGAGGAGCACGAAGGUUGGCUAAUCCUGGUCGGACAUCAGGAGGUUAGUGCAAUGGCAUAAGCCAGCUUGACUGCGAGCGUGACGGCGCGAGCAGGUGCGAAAGCAGGUCAUAGUGAUCCGGUGGUUCUGAAUGGAAGGGCCAUCGCUCAACGGAUAAAAGGUACUCCGGGGAUAACAGGCUGAUACCGCCCAAGAGUUCAUAUCGACGGCGGUGUUUGGCACCUCGAUGUCGGCUCAUCACAUCCUGGGGCUGAAGUAGGUCCCAAGGGUAUGGCUGUUCGCCAUUUAAAGUGGUACGCGAGCUGGGUUUAGAACGUCGUGAGACAGUUCGGUCCCUAUCUGCCGUGGGCGCUGGAGAACUGAGGGGGGCUGCUCCUAGUACGAGAGGACCGGAGUGGACGCAUCACUGGUGUUCGGGUUGUCAUGCCAAUGGCACUGCCCGGUAGCUAAAUGCGGAAGAGAUAAGUGCUGAAAGCAUCUAAGCACGAAACUUGCCCCGAGAUGAGUUCUCCCUGAGACUUAGAGUCUCCUGAAGGAACGUUGAAGACGACGACGUUGAUAGGCCGGGUGUGUAAGCGCAGCGAUGCGUUGAGCUAACCGGUACUAAUGAACCGUGAGGCUUAACCUU